CACGGGGGGGAGCAAGCGUUGUUCGGAAUCACUGGGCGUAAAGGGCGUGUAGGCGGUCAGGUAAGUGAGAUGUGAAAUGCCCCGGCUCACCCGGGGACCGGCAUCUCAUACUGCUUGGCUUGAGUACGGGAGGAGGAUGUGGGAAUUCCUGGUGUAGCGGUGAAAUGCGUAGAUAUCAGGAGGAACACCGGUGGCGAAGGCGGCUCUCUGGGACGGUACUGACGCUGAGACGCGAAAGCGUGGGGAGCAAACAGG
rnacentral:rRNA from 1 species